rnacentral:rRNA from 1 species
AGAGUUUGAUCCUGGCUCAGGAUGAACGCUAGCGACAGGCCUAACACAUGCAAGUCGAGGGGCAGCGAAGAGGUAGCAAUACCUCUGUCGGCGACCGGCGCACGGGUGAGUAACACGUAUGCAAUCCACCUGUAACAGGGGGAUAACCCGGAGAAAUCCGGACUAAUACCCCAUAAUAUGGGCGCUCCGCAUGGAGGGCUCAUUAAAGAAAGCAAUUUUGGUUACAGACGAGCAUGCGCUCCAUUAGCCAGUUGGCGGGGUAACGGCCCACCAAAGCGACGAUGGAUAGGGGUUCUGAGAGGAAGGUCCCCCACAUUGGAACUGAGACACGGUCCAAACUCCUACGGGAGGCAGCAGUGAGGAAUAUUGGUCAAUGGUCGGCAGACUGAACCAGCCAAGUCGCGUGAGGGAAGACGGCCCUACGGGUUGUAAACCUCUUUUGUCGGAGAGUAAAGUGCGCUACGCGUAGCGUAUUGCAAGUAUCCGAAGAAAAAGCAUCGGCUAACUCCGUGCCAGCAGCCGCGGUAAUACGGAGGAUGCAAGCGUUAUCCGGAUUUAUUGGGUUUAAAGGGUGCGUAGGCGGCACGCCAAGUCAGCGGUGAAAUUUCCGGGCUCAACCCGGAAUGUGCCGUUGAAACUGGCGAGCUAGAGUACACAAGAGGCAGGCGGAAUGCGUGGUGUAGCGGUGAAAUGCAUAGAUAUCACGCAGAACCCCGAUUGCGAAGGCAGCCUGCUAGGGUGAAACAGACGCUGAGGCACGAAAGCGUGGGUAUCGAACAGGAUUAGAUACCCUGGUAGUCCACGCAGUAAACGAUGAAUACUAACUGUUUGCGAUACAAUGUAAGCGGUACAGCGAAAGCGUUAAGUAUUCCACCUGGGGAGUACGCCGGCAACGGUGAAACUCAA